UGGUGGAGUGAUUUGUCUGGUUAAUUCCGUUAACGAACGGGACCUUAACCUGCUAAAUAGCUACGCGUAGCUUCGGUUACAUGGGCAACUUCUUAGAGGGACGUUGCGUCUCUAACGCAAGGAAGUUUGAGGCAAUAACA
rnacentral:rRNA from 1 species